rnacentral:rRNA from 1 species
UACGUAGGUGGCUAGCGUUGUCCGGAUUUACUGGGCGUAAAGAGCGCGCAGGCGGUCGUUCAAGUCGAGUGUGAAAGCCCCCGGCUCAACUGGGGAGGGUCACUCGAUACUGAUCGACUCGAAGGCAGAAGAGGGAAGCGGAAUUCCCGGUGUAGUGGUGAAAUGCGUAGAUAUCGGGAGGAACACCGGUGGCGAAGGCGGGUCUCUGGGCAUCUCCUGACGCUGAGGCGCGAAAGCGUGGGGAGCAAACGGG